rnacentral:ncRNA from 1 species
GUCGAACGGGAAGUGGUGUUUCCAGUGGCGAACGGGUGAGUAACGCGUAAGAACCUGCCCUUGGGAGGGGAACAACAACUGGAAACGGUUGCUAAUACCCCGUAGGCUGAGGAGCAAAAGGAGAAAUCCGCCCAAGGAGGGGCUCGCGUCUGAUAGUGCACUCUUCGUUUGGCUCUUGANNAGUCAUACAACGAUGAUUGCGCUAAAGUGCAAAAGAAACUAGAUCAUGCUACUGUUCUUACUCGUAUGCUUAAGUCUGAAAAGGAUUCUCUUGGGGUUGUCCAUGACAGACUCAAAGUGGAGUUUGAGACACUUGACAAGGCUCACAAGG